GACGAACGCUGGCGGCGUGCUUAACACAUGCAAGUCGAACGGAAAGGCCCUGCUUUUGUGGGGUGCUCGAGUGGCGAACGGGUGAGUAACACGUGAGUAACCUGCCCUUGACUUUGGGAUAACUUCAGGAAACUGGGGCUAAUACCGGAUAGGAGCUCCUGCUGCAUGGUGGGGGUUGGAAAGUUUCGGCGGUUGGGGAUGGACUCGCGGCUUAUCAGCUUGUUGGUGGGGUAGUGGCUUACCAAGGCUUUGACGGGUAGCCGGCCUGAGAGGGUGACCGGCCACAUUGGGACUGAGAUACGGCCCAGUCUCCUACGGGAGGCAGCAGUGGGGAAUCUUGCACAAUGGGCGGAAGCCUGAUGCAGCAACGCCGCGUGCGGGAUGACGGCCUUCGGGUUGUAAACCGCUUUCGCCUGUGACGAAGCGUGAGUGACGGUAAUGGGUAAAGAAGCACCGGCUAACUACGUG
rnacentral:rRNA from 1 species